rnacentral:tRNA from 1 species
UCUCGGAUAGCUUAAGGGAAGAGCAGUUGGUGCGAUACCAAAAGAUCCAGGUUCGAUUCCUGGUCUGGGUCGUCCGAA